rnacentral:rRNA from 1 species
UACUGAGGUCCCAAGCGUUGUUCGGAUUCACUGGGCGUAAAGGGUGCGUAGGCGGUCGUGUAAGUCUGAUGUGAAAUCUCCAAGCUCAACUUGGAAAUGGCAUCGGAUACUAUUCGGCUCGAGGAAUGGAGGGGAGACUGGAAUACUUGGUGUAGCAGUGAAAUGCGCAGAUAUCAGGAGGAACACCGGUGGCGAAGGCGGGUCUCUGGGCAGUAACUGACGCUGAGGAGCGAAAGCGUGGGGAGCGAACAGG